rnacentral:rRNA from 1 species
AUUGAACGCUGGCGGCAUGCCUUACACACGCAAGUCGAGCGGCAGCGCGGGGGCAACCCUGGCGGCGAGCGGCGAACGGGUGAGUAAUGCAUCGGAACGUGUCCUCUUGUGGGGGAUAACCAGUCGAAAGACUGGCUAAUACCGCAUGAGCUCGUAAGAGGAAAGCAGGGGACCGCAAGGCCUUGCGCGAGAGGAGCGGCCGAUGCCGGAUUAGCUCGUUGGUGGGGUAACGGCUCACCAAGGCGACGAUCCGUAGCUGGUCUGAGAGGACGACCAGCAAGGCUGGGACUGAGACACAGCCCAGACUCGUACGGGAGGCAGCAGUGGGGAAUUUUGGACAAUGGGGGCAACCCUGAUCCAGCCAUGCCGCGUGUGUGAAGAAGGCCUUCGGGUUGUAAAGCACUUUCGGACGGAACGAAAUCGCGCGGGCGAAUAUCCCGCGUGGAUGACGGUACCGUAAGAAGAAGCACCGGCUAACUACGUGCCAGCAGCCGCCGUAA